rnacentral:misc_RNA from 1 species
CAGACACGACAAAUGGUGGCCCGUAC